AUUCAUAUUUCACAGUAAUUAUACAUUCCAUUAAAAAUGACUUUUACAUUCGAAUUCGUACAAUUAAUGCACAGUGAUUUUUCGCAAUAGUUGAUGUAUUUACAUAAUACAUAUUAAUAUACAAACACCAAUGAAGAAAUAUAACGAUUAAAUGACAUCGUGAAGAAUGUAUUCUACAGCGAAGAAAUUUACUUUCACACAAUCGUUUUAUUGUUCUCUAAUUUUGAAUGUAUAUUACUUACUUGUUUGAAGAUACUUUGCCCGACAAAGAGAUUCCUGUAUUAAGAUAGUAAACAUUAUCAUUUUCGAUAAGUAUACAAUGUGUAAUUAAAGUAGGGGAAAGCAUAAUGACUUCUGUAUCUUUUGGUUGACAUAUUAGUCACAAAACAUUAUAUAAAUCUGAAAUCCGAAUAAACCAAUGGAACUUGAUAUUCGCGCGGAAUUACUCUUUUGCUGACAAAGAGAGUAAGUGCGCGCACAGGAGGGGAGUUUAAUAUAUUGACUACAGUAAAAAAAAUGUCAGGAAGCGAGUCAAUUGAUUCUAAGUAACGACCAUGUAUAUACUCUGUUCAAUCGCAUGAUUGAGUGCGAAAAUAAAUAGACCAGAAAUUAACGACAAUGAAGUCGAAUGAUCGUUAAGUUCUAACCUGUAAUUUUAAUUUAUGAUGGAGAUAAUCAAGAUCAAUUCACUAAUUACAGUCAAUUGUAAAAAUAAUUAAAUCGAUUAUGUAUUUUUAUGAAUUCAUCACGUUAUGACUAUAUAAAAAUCUUCUAUAAAACAAUUGAGUGUAUUGUAGAGUGGGUAGAUUUCUGCUGGCAAUAAUGAUCCUUGGGAGAAUUUUAUCAUCUACCCUCACAAGGACACGAUUGAUCCCCUAUGCUCAACCUCAGUUAUUAAACCAGCGAAAAAACCUGACUCUGUUUUUAUUGGCAUGUAAACUAUCCAGCCAUCGUGUCUCAAAGAAUAUUGAACAUAUUACACAGGAUAAUCGAGCAAAAACCACAGAUGGCCAGAUUCAGAAUCUUAAAAAUGCAGAAAGAAGACCUCUGUUAAUUAUGCUCAGUUGGCUUUUAGCUAACCGUAAACAUAUCACUAAGUUUCUCAAUUUAUACACAGAGCAAGGUUUCGAUGUCGCAUUGGUAUCAACAACUCCUUGGCAAGUACUGUGGCCUAUAUCAGGAUCAAGGGUAGUCGCCAAAGACUUGUUAGAUUUCUUACUAGCAAAUGAAAACUAUCAGCAAAUACUAUUACAUGGUUUUUCAGUAGGUGGAUAUAUGUGGGGAGAAGUAAUAGAUAUAUUUCAAAAUGAUAGUCAAAAAUAUGGUAAUGUGCUAGAUAGAAUUGUUGGUCAGGUUUGGGACAGUCUGGCUGAUGUGUCACAAUUAUCAAUAGGCACUCCGCGUGCUGUAUUUCCAAAAAAUAAGGUGUUACAAAAUAUGGUACAAAAAUAUCUAGAAUUUCACAUGAGAACAUUUUACAAAUCGUCUACUCAAUACUAUAAACGAUCUAGUCAAUUAUUUCAUUCGAAUAUAGUACACAGUCCUGCAUUGUUCUUUGUAAGUAAAGUGGAUCCUGUUGGUACAGUAACUAAUAAUAUGCAAGUACGCGAUCGAUGGGAUAGUAUGGGCGUGAAGACUUACGUUAAAAUAUUCGAGGAUUCUCCGCAUGUUGGACACUUUCAGAGAUAUCCAAAAGAGUAUGUUGGCGAACUUUAUGCUUUCUUAAAUGAAUUAAAUUUAAUCCAAAACGAAGAAAAGAUGAGAGCGCGACUCUAAAUAUGCGAUUUAAUGCCUAAUUACUUACAUUCUUAAUUGAUAUUUGAAAUUACAUGUUAUGAGAACCGACUAUAAAUUCGUACUCAGUCAUA